GGGGGGGGUUCCUUCCGAGCGCUGCAGUUCCGGCAAGGUUACCGAGGCUAGCGAAAGAGGUCUCAAUUACUCCAGAAAAUAAAACUUGAAUCAUUCAUUUGUUGGAAUGGGACAGUUUUGAAGGUCUGCACUUGGGAAUUCAUCUCCUUUCCUGCUCUGCCCAGUGGGCCGAACCCUGGAGGAAAUUUCAUGGCUGCAGACUGAAAAAUUGAGAACCUGUAACCCGCAUUUUUACACUUCAGAAUUGAGCACUUUACACCCACUAGGCAACACGUUAUAUUUAACUUGCAUUAUGUAUAGUCCUACUCACCUGAAAAUACACGAUUUUCAUUGUGAAUAAGAUUCGUUCCAUAAGUUGUCUGCAUUCACUUGCUCUCAUGAAUAUUAAUUGGUGGUCUGCUCAGCAUCCAUUUUCCCCCUUUUCCAUUCCUAAGGGCAACCUGAUUGCUGACCAGGUAGCUGCCCCCCUUCCAUACACAAACACACAUAUGUGCACACAUUUAUGCUUUCCUUCAUCUAUGAGCCUAUGUCUACGACAGGAUUUCUCUUGUUACACAAUCAAAAGGCCUUUGUAGAUAGUAAAUAAACAGGCUGCAGAUGGCAAUGAGUUUGUGGGAAAAACAGAUGAAUAACAGAGUAAGGAACAGGGCUGGUGGGUGAUAGUAUACUCCCCUCAAAUGGUAAUUAUCCGGUGUUAAAUUCUCUGACACCAGAGCCAUGCAAAAGGACAGGUCCCUAGAGGGCCUGGCUGCACUUACCAGGACUGACAGUGGCAGGCAGUUAACAGGGAAGGAUCUUGAGACAUACCCAGAAAGGUGAGAUCCCAGGAAAUCAUUCUGAGCAGCCAGAAGCCGGAGAGAGGAGAGCAGGGAUCCAGGAGACAAAGUGGGCCAGAUGGUAAAGAAGCAGUAAGGCCAAGGCACCAAAGAAAUGAUAGGAACUAGGGCUAGUAGGGGGGCUGAAAAGCUCAAGGUAAGCAUCAAUGAAACAGGCUGGGAUGGAGCUUGGUGUGUGUGUGUGUGUGUGUGCGCGCGCGCACGCGCGCGCGCACGCUCAGGAUAAGGGUAAUUCAGAAACUCAUCUCAAAGAAGUGGGAAUGUAGUUUCAGACCCCUUAUCUGAAUGUUUUGGUUGCUCCUGCCAACAGCGUUGAGCCAGCAGAUUCCAACCAAAUUGUGUUUCACUGAGAAUAAACAUCAUAGCAGAAUGGACUACCUACACUUUUAACUCCAUAACCUUAUCAUAUAAGAAUAAGUUUACUGGGGCGCCUGGGUGGCUCCAUCGGUUGGGCCUCCGACUUCGGCUCAGGUCAUGAUCUCGCGAUUGGUGAGUUUGAGCCCCACGUCGGGCUCUGUGCUGGCAGCUCGGAGCCUGGAGCCUGCUUCGGAUUCUGUGUCUCCCUCUUCCUCUGCCCCUCCC